UACGAAGGGUGCAAGCGUUGCUCGGAAUUAUUGGGCGUAAAGCGUGCGCAGGCGGUUUUGUAAGCCAGGUGUGAAAUCCCCGGGCUCAACCUGGGAAUGGCAUUUGGGACUGCAAGGCUUGAGUGCGGCAGAGGAGACUGGAAUUCCUGGUGUAGCAGUGAAAUGCGUAGAUAUCAGGAGGAAUACCGAUGGCGAAGGCAGGUCUCUGGGCUGACACUGACGCUCAUGCACGAAAGCGUGGGGAGCAAACAGG
rnacentral:rRNA from 1 species